UUCAAAGCUUCAAAAGAACACAGAUAGUUGAGGGGACUGAAUUCAUGCACAUAUAUUCCUCCUCCUCCAUCAACAGACAGUCGAAACUUGCCGCCUCAAGCCGAGCAGAGGUCGAAACAGUGGGUAUUCUGGUUGAGAUUCCGUUGUUCGCAAUCCGGUCUCAGGUACGGUGAAAAUAAUUGAAUUCAUAUUCGGAAGGAUGGGAGGAGGGAGAAGAAUAGAAACCUGUAUAUUUGAUUCUGCAUCAUCAUCAACCAACUAGUGAAAAAACACCAGAGGAUUUAGAUUUUUGAGGAAGAAACAACUUGACAGUGUCAUAUUUGGUUGCAAUAACAAUUCCAUGAAGGAGUGUAUAUAUAAGCAGCUAUUUGGUUAGUUAUUUAGGAGCUAAUGCAUGUCUUUCUUCUUUCUUCUUGGCUGUCUCAUGUGAGCUGAAUUUUGUUAUAUGUACUUUUUUCCUUCUCUUUUUGUGCUUUAGUUGAAUUGCGUAUUUGUUUGAGCUCUUGUUUUAGGUUUGCCGAAUUCACAUUUUUCAUAUGUGAAGAAUG